GUGGGGAAUCUUGCGCAAUGGGCGAAAGCCUGACGCAGCCAUGCCGCGUGAAUGAUGAAGGUCUUAGGAUUGUAAAAUUCUUUCACCGGGGACGAUAAUGACGGUACCCGGAGAAGAAGCCCCGGCUAACUUCGUGCCAGCAGCCGCGGUAAUACGAAGGGGGCUAGCGUUGCUCGGACUUACUGGGCGUAAAGGGCGCGUAGGCGGACAGUUUAGUCAGAGGUGAAAGCCCAGGGCUCAACCUUGGAAUUGCCUUUGAUACUGGCUGUCUUGAGUACGGGAGAGGUGAGUGGAACUCCGAGUGUAGAGGUGAAAUUCGUAGAUAUUCGGAAGAACACCAGUGGCGAAGGCGACUCACUGGCCCGUUACUGACGCUGAGGCGCGAAAGCGUGGGGAGCAAACAGGAUUAGAAACCCGGGUAGUCC
rnacentral:rRNA from 1 species